rnacentral:rRNA from 1 species
ACCAUGCAGUCGAGGGGUAUGGGCUUUCGGGCCCGAGACCGGCGCACGGGUGCGUAACGCGUAUGCAAUCUACCUUUUACAGCGGGAUAGCCCAGAGAAAUUUGGAUUAAUACCACAUAGUAUUAUGAAAUGGCAUCAUUUUAUAAUUAAAGUCACAACGGUAAAAGAUGAGCAUGCGUCCCAUUAGCUAGUUGGUAAGGUAACGGCUUACCAAGGCGACGAUGGGUAGGGGUCCUGAGAGGGAGAUCCCCCACACUGGUACUGAGACACGGACCAGACUCCUACGGGAGGCAGCAGUGAGGAAUAUUGGACAAUGGGCGCAAGCCUGAUCCAGCCAUGCCGCGUGCAGGAUGACGGUCCUAUGGAUUGUAAACUGCUUUUAUACAGGAAGAAACCCUUGCUCGUGAGCAAGAUUGACGGUACUGUAAGAAUAAGGAUCGGCUAACUCCGUGCCAGCAGCCGCGGUAAUACGGAGGAUCCAAGCGUUAUCCGGAAUCAUUGGGUUUAAAGGGUCCGUAGGCGGUUUAAUAAGUCAGUGGUGAAAUCCCAUCGCUCAACGGUGGAACGGCCAUUGAUACUGCUAGACUUGAAUUAUUAGGAAGUAACUAGAAUAUGUAGUGUAGCGGUGAAAUGCUUAGAUAUUACAUGGAAUACCAAUUGCGAAGGCAGGUUACUACUAAUGGAUUGACGCUGAUGGACGAAAGCGUGGGUAGCGAACAGGAUUAGAUACCCUGGUAGUCCACGCCGUAAACGAUGGAUACU